UACGGAGGGUGCGAGCGUUGUCCGGAAUCACUGGGCGUAAAGGGCGCGUAGGCGGCGCGGGAAGUCAUCGGUGAAAGUUCAGGGCUCAACUCUGAAUCGGCCGGUGAUACUCUCGUGCUCGAGCACUGUAGAGGCAGGUGGAAUUCCGGGUGUAGCGGUGGAAUGCGUAGAGAUCCGGAAGAACACCGGUGGCGAAGGCGGUUCUCUGGGACGGUACUGACGCUGAGACGCGAAAGCGUGGGGAGCGAACAGG
rnacentral:rRNA from 1 species